ACUCUGGUUUCUCUUCAGAUUAUAUAAAUCUUUUGCCUUUUACUAAAGAUUUCCAUGGAGAGAAACAAAAAGAAGAAAACAAUAGAUUGAGAACAUUUUAUUGCAUACAUGAU